UUAAAUUGAAGAGUUUGAUCAUGGCUCAGAUUGAACGCUGGCGGCAGGCCUAACACAUGCAAGUCGAGCGGAAACGAGUUAUCUGAACCUUCGGGGAACGAUAACGGCGUCGAGCGGCGGACGGGUGAGUAA
rnacentral:rRNA from 1 species